CCGACCUUAGCUCAGUUGGCAGAGCGCGAGAUUAUAAUACACGUGUCGUAGCGGUUUUGGUCUUGAGGUCGCUUGUUCAAGGCAAGCAGGUCGGA